GAGGGAGACGCGUGAGAAGCGCACGGAGGAGAGGAGGGAGUCUGCCAGCAGCAGAGGGAGGGCCGGAGACCCGGGGAAGGACAGGCUGCGCCGAGAGAGGAAGGAAGGAGACCGCCAGGCGACGGACAGGGAGGGACACCGAUGGGAGAGGAGGGACGGUAGAGCAGCCAGCAAAGGAAGCGAGUCCUCCCUCGGCAAGCGUUUCCCCGUCGAGCGGAUGUCGGCGCCGACCUCGACGCGCAGCUGCAGGCGGGAGGAGGAGAGAAGGCCGCGCGCCGCGGAGGAGCUGCGUCGCCGCGAG